CCUACGGGUGGCAGCAGUGAGGAAUAUUGGUCAAUGGACGAGAGUCUGAACCAGCCAAGUAGCGUGAAUGAUGACUGCCCUAUGGGUUGUAAACUUCUUUUAUAAAGGAAUAAAACGAGGCACGUGUGCCUUUUUGCAUGUACUUUAUGAAUAAGGAUCGGCUAACUCCGUGCCAGCAGCCGCGGUAAUACGGAGGAUCCGAGCGUUAUCCGGAUUUAUUGGGUUUAAAGGGAGCGUAGAUGGGUUGUUAAGUCAGUUGUGAAAGGUUGCGGCUCAACCGUAAAAUUGCAAUUGAUACUGGCAGUCUUGAGUACAGUUGAGGUAAGCGGAAUUCGUGGUGUAGCGGUGAAAUGCUUAGAUAUCACGAAGAACCCCGAUUGCGAAGGCAGCUUACUAAACUGUGACUGACAUUGAUGCUCGAAAGUGUGGGUAUCAAACAGGAUUAGAUACCCUUGUAGUC
rnacentral:rRNA from 1 species